rnacentral:rRNA from 1 species
UGGGGAAUAUUGCACAAUGGGCGCAAGCCUGAUGCAGCGACGCCGCGUGGGGGAUGAAGGCCUUCGGGUUGUAAACCUCUUUCGACAGGGAAGAAGCUUUGGUGACGGUACCUGUAGAAGAAGCACCGGCUAACUACGUGCCAGCAGCCGCGGUAAUACGUAGGGUGCGAGCGUUGUCCGGAAUUAUUGGGCGUAAAGAGCUUGUAGGCGGUUUGUCGCGUCUGCUGUGAAAAUUCGGGGCUUAACUCCGGACGUGCAGUGGGUACGGGCAGACUGGAGUGUGGUAGGGGAGACUGGAAUUCCUGGUGUAGCGGUGAAAUGCGCAGAUAUCAGGAGGAACACCGAUGGCGAAGGCAGGUCUCUGGGCCACUACUGACGCUGAGAAGCGAAAGCAUGGGGA